rnacentral:lncRNA from 1 species
GGGAGCAGGUGAAGAAGAACUCACCAUCACUGUAGUCCUUGUGGUGCACAGACACGUGGUAGCGCCGGGGAUUGGAGCAAAAGAUUCUCCUGCUGGCUUUGAAGAAGCUGCCAUGUUGUGAGAGGGCCCCAUGGCAAGGAACUGCAGGUGGCCUCUAGGAAGGGAACUCAGAGAAGCCCUUGGGUGACAUUCAGAAGAAAAGAGGAACCACAGUCCUACAGCCACAAAAAAACUGAAUUCUGGCAACAACCAUCUGAGCUUAGAAAAGAGCCUCAAACUCAAGAAAGGCAGGCAGCCUGGCUGACACCUUGAUCGCAGUCUUGUGUGACCCUCAGCAGAGGACCCAUUUGAGUCAUGCCUGGACUCCUCACCCAGGGAAACUGGAAAAUGAUAAAUGUAUAUUGUUUUAAGCCUCUAGGUUUGUG